rnacentral:lncRNA from 1 species
UGGAACCAUGCGGUACUCUUCUGACACCUCAACGAGCCAGUCGACAAGAAUGGAGCGCAUUUUGGCGUUGAUUUCCGGCUGCGAAUCGAUGUAAUCAGGUAUGGGCCGCCGUAGAAGCUGCACAGGAACCGAGUAAAAGCAAAUUGCACCUCAGAAGUGCAUCGUCGAUUCGUGCGCCAAUUUCGUAUCCCCAUUCCUUUUGCCGCAGGGAGUCCCCUUGAUCACGCCUCGGGUGCCCUUUCUAUUAACACCAGCUACCCCAUUUUCCCAACCACGUAAGUAUUAGUGCUCAAUCCCGCACUAUGUAAACCGGAGAUCUAUGUGCACAUCUAUGCUGCGCCAGUCAACCCCACUUGAGCGUCGUGC